GAUGAACGCUGGCGGCGUGCCUAAUACAUGCAAGUAGAACGCUGAAGCUUGGUGCUUGCACCGAGCGGGUGAGUUGCGAACGGGUGAGUAACGCGUAGGUAACCUGCCUCUUAGCGGGGGAUAACUAUUGGAAACGAUAGCUAAUACCGCAUAAAAGUCGACAUCGCAUGAUGUUGACUUGAAAGGUGCAAUUGCAUCACUAAGAGAUGGACCUGCGUUGUAUUAGCUAGUUGGUGAGGGAACGGCUCACCAAGGCGACGAUACAUAGCCGACCUGAGAGGGUGGUCGGCCACACUGGGACUGAGACACGGCCCAGACUCCUACGGGAGGCAGCAGGAGGGAAUCCUCGGGAAUGGGGGCAACCCUGACCGAGCAACGCCGCGGGAGUGAAGAAGGUUUUCGGAUCGUAAAGCUCUGUUGUAAGAGAAGAAAGAGAGUGAGAGUGGAAAGUUCACACUGUGACGGUACCUUACCAGAAAGGGACGGCUAACUACGUG
rnacentral:rRNA from 1 species